rnacentral:misc_RNA from 1 species
GACGGAGGGUGCGAACGUUGUUCGGAAUCACUGGGCGUAAAGGGCGCGUAGGCGGACCUGUAAGUCGGGAGUGAAAACUCGGGGCUCAACUCCGAGCCUGCUUCCGAAACUGCGGGUCUUGAGGACCGGAGAGGAGAGUGGAAUUCCUGGUGUAGCGGUGGAAUGCGUAGAUAUCAGGAAGAACACCGGUGGCGAAGGCGACUCUCUGGACGGUUCCUGACGCUGAGGCGCGAAAGCUGGGGGAGCAAACAGG